GAUGAACGCUGGCGGCGUGCCUAAUACACGCAAGUCGAGCGAACAGAUGAGGCGCUUGCUCCUCUGACGUUAGCCGCGGACGGGUGAGUAACACGUGUAUAACCUACCUAUAUGACUGGGAUAACUUCGAGAAACCGGAUCUUAUACCGGAUAAUAUAUUGAUCCGCAUGGUUCAUUAGUGAGAGACGGUUUUUCUGUCACUUCUCGCUGGUUCUGCGCCGCAUUAGCUGGUUGGUAAGGUAACGGCUUACCAAGGCUACGAUGCGUAGCCGAACUGAGAGGGUGAUAGGCCGCACUGGAGCUGAGACGCGGACCAGACGACUACGGGAGGGAGCAGUAGGGAAUCGUAGGCAAUGGGCGAGAGCCUGACGGAGCAACGGCGAGUGAGUGAUGAAGGUCUUCGGAGCGUAAAACUCUGUUAUUGGGGAAGAACAGAUGUGGAAGUAAAUGUGGACGGCGUGACGGUACCGAAUAAGAAAGCCACGGCUAACUACGUG
rnacentral:rRNA from 1 species